rnacentral:rRNA from 1 species
UUGUCUCGUAUUUAUAAGAGCUAAAAAUAUAUAGAUUUUAAUGUAGAAAAAUUAUUUAUAAUAUAUUUUUUGAUAUUAUACGUUAGUCGGGUAUAAAUAUAUCUAGUUUUUUAAGAAAUUAAUUUAAUUAAGCUGAUUUUAGGGGUAAUUUAUCUAAUAAAUAAGCCUGUAAAUUAAGUAAUAUUUAAGGGGAUAAGCUUUUAAAUAAAAUUUUAUAAAAAUUGAUUAGUUUAAAGUUGAGUAGGAAUAGAAGUUUUUAUUUUUUGUAGUGUUUUAUAUCAAGAUUUUAAUUAAGGUAAUUUGUUUUUUUUUAAGUAUUUUAUUAAAAUAUUAAAAUUAAUUGAUGGUUUUAAGUAAUAAUGAUAAAAUAAGUAAAGUUUUUUGUUUAGGGGAAUGUAAUAUGUAAGGUUUAGUUAAGGAACUCGGCAAAUAUAUUUUCUGCCUGUUUAUUAAAAACAUGGCUUUUUGUAAAUAAUUUAAGGUCAGGCCUGCCCAAUGAUUAAUUGAAUGGCCGCGGUACUCUGACCGUGCAAAGGUAGCAUAAUCAUUAGUUUUUUAAUUGAAAGCUGGAAUGAACGGUCUUACAAGAAAAUUUCUGUCUCAAUUAAAUGGUUCUUGAAUUUUAUUUUUUAGUUAAAAGGCUAAAAUGUGUUUAGGGGACGAGAAGACC